ACUCUGUUGCCCAGUUUGGAAUGCAGUGGUGUAAUCAAGGCUCAUUGCAGCCGUGACCUCCCAGGACCUAGUAAUCCUCCCACCUCAGCCUCCUUCGCAGAUGAUACCACAGGUAAUUUUCCAUUGCAUCGGUUCUUCUGGUGUUUUCAGGAUCUGUGCCAAAUGCGAGGCUGCCCUUGCCACUAAGGAUUUCUAACAUUGCAACUAUCAAGAUGAUGAUGAACUCAUCAAUAGAUGGAGAGAGACUGCUGUAUUUUGAAGGACUCUGGAUAAUAAAUAGACCAUUUGACCAUAAUGCUGUGAAAAAGCCCAACUUAAUCUACUCAAUAUGAAAGUCUCUGCAGAAAGAAGAAUGGAGGUACUCUGGUGACAGCUGGUACCAUGUUCCAAAGGCCAUCUUCAGCCUGCAGAUUCAGGGAAGACAUCAGAUGACGGUAGUCACAUGAGCCCAGCGCUGUCAUCCUGAAGAAAAGUAACAUCUGUUUUGACAUCUCCAGUGGUAGAGACUUUAAAUCAGUUUCCACAUUGCUUAUCUGCUGGCUAAUCAGAAUGGAUGCAAUAUUCUUACCAACUCAUUGACAGGGAAAAAGAAAAGAUAUGCAGAGAAAUAAGACCUGUUGAAGAAGCACCUACAUACUAAUGUUAUCACAGAUACAGACCAUCAGCAAAUCAAAAUUCGGAACCGCAGAUAACUUUCUGAGGGUAAAACGAGAAAGAUUCUAAGAAACAGUCAUUCUGUGUUUGAAAGAACCGUGACUCCUAAACUAUCACAAUCCUAUUUCCUGUUAUGCCUAUUGUUCAUGCUUUCUGUAAUGUCUUAUCAUUUUGACAGAUUAAGCAAAUUCAUGUUAAAUUACACAAAAGCAGUAAAAGUAAAAGCAUUUAGGUAUAGAAAACAUGCAUAGAAAAUCAUGAUUUAUUUCAGCA